CAACAGAAAACUGCCGUGCCUUGUGUCCCAAAGGGUUUGGUUCCGAGAAUCGGAAUCCAUUUCUGCAAAUGGCAGCAGGACCUGUGGGGGUUCGUUCACAAGGACCCAGCCUUAACUUAUGGUGGAUCUCUGUCUUCGAUUCCUACUGUUUUGACCGAAGUUGCUGAAGCUUGCAUGCUGCUUCAUGCAGUCACACGUUCUGGGUCAUGAAACUUAAUCCACAGCAAGCACCAUUAUAUGUGAGUAAAAACACACACAUAUAUUUUAAACCUACACUUUCUGUUCUCUGGGGCAUAUUGAA
rnacentral:lncRNA from 1 species